UACGGGGGGGGGCAAGCGUUGUUCGGAAUUACUGGGCGUAAAGGGCUCGUAGGCGGCCAACUAAGUCGGAUGUGAAAUCCCCAAGCUUAACUUGGGAACUGCAUCCGAUACUGGAUGGCUUGAAUCCGGGAGAGGGAUGCAGAAUUCCAGGUGUAGCGGUGAAAUGCGUAGAUAUCUGGAGGAAUACCGGUGGCGAAGGCGGCAUCCUGGACCGGCAUUGACGCUGAGGAGCGAAAGCUAGGGGAGCAAAGCGGG
rnacentral:rRNA from 1 species